rfam:Echinostoma caproni strain Egypt genome assembly, scaffold: ECPE_contig0001477
GCACUGCUGACGAGUCCCAAACAGGAUGAAACAGAUGUCCAGUGC